GUGCCAGCAGCCGCGGUAAGACGAACCGUCCAAACGUUAUUCGGAAUUACUGGGCUUAAAGGGUGCGUAGGCGGCGAGGAAAGUAGGGUGUGAAAUCCCUCGGCUUAACCGAGGAACUGCGCUCUAAACUACCUCGCUCGAGGGAGACAGAGGUGAGCGGAACUUAGGGUGGAGCGGUGAAAUGUGUUGAUAUCCUAAGGAACACCGGUGGCGAAGGCGGCUCACUGGGUCUCUUCUGACGCUGAGGCACGAAAGCUAGGGUAGCGAACGGGAUUAGAUACCCCGGUAGUCCUAGCUGUAAACGAUGAGCACUGGAUCGAAGGGACCCCCAUAUCCUUUUGGUCGAACAGAAAUAGUUAAGUGCUCCGCCUGGGGAGUAUGGUCGCAAGGCUGAA
rnacentral:rRNA from 1 species